AUGUCGCGUCACACCACCAGACUCUGGCAUGUCGCGUCACACCACCAGACUCUGGCAUGUCACAUCACACCAUCACACUCUGGGUCACACCAACAUGCUCCGGCAUGUCACGUCACACCACCACACUCUGGCAUGUUACGUCACACCACCAAACUCUGCAAUGUCACGUCACACAAGCACACUUUAGCAUGUAACGUCACACCACUACACUCUGUGUCACACCACCACACAAAGGCAUGUCACAUCACACGACCACACUCUGGCAUGUCACGUCACACCACCACUCGCUGGGUCACUCCACCACACUCCAGCAUGUCAUGGCACACCACCACAUCACACUCUGGCAUGUCACGUUACACCACCACACUCUGUCAUGUCACGUCACAACACCACACUCUGGCAUGUCGUGUCACAACACCACACUCUGGCAUGUCGUGUCACACCAGCACACUCUGGCAUGUCGUGUCACACCAGCACACUCUGGCAUGUCGUGUCACACCACCAGACUCUGGCAUGUCGCGUCACACCACCAGACUCUGGCAUGUCGCGUCACACCACCAGACUCUGGCAUGUCACAUCACACCAUCACACUCUGGGUCACACCAACAUGCUCCGGCAUGUCACGUCACACCACCACACUCUGGCAUGUUACGUCACACCACCAAACUCUGCAAUGUCACGUCACACAAGCACACUUUAGCAUGUAACGUCACACCACUACACUCUGUGUCACACCACCACACAAAGGCAUGUCACAUCACACGACCACACUCUGGCAUGUCACGUCACACCACCACUCGCUGGGUCACUCCACCACACUCCAGCAUGUCAUGGCACACCACCACAUCACACUCUGGCAUGUCACGUUACACCACCACACUCUGUCAUGUCACGUCACAACACCACACUCUGGCAUGUCGUGUCACACCAGCACACUCUGGCAUGUCGUGUCACACCAGCACACUCUGGCAUGUCGUGUCACACCAGCACACUCUGGCAAGUCGCGUCACACCACCAGACUCUGGCAUGUCGCGUCACACCACCAGACUCUGGCAUGUCACAUCACACCAUCACACUCUGGGUCACACCAACAUGCUCCGGCAUGUCACGUCACACCACCACACUCUGGCAUGUUACGUCACACCACCAAACUCUGCAAUGUCACGUCACACAAGCACACUUUAG
rnacentral:lncRNA from 1 species